rnacentral:rRNA from 1 species
GUUUUGCUAUCACUUAUAGAUGGACCCGCGCCGUAUUAGCUAGUUGGUAAGGUAACGGCUUACCAAGGCGACGAUACGUAGCCGACCUGAGAGGGUGAUCGGCCACACUGGAACUGAGACACGGUCCAGACUCCUACGGGAGGCAGCAGUAGGGAAUCUUCCGCAAUGGGCGAAAGCCUGACGGAGCAACGCCGCGUGAGUGAUGAAGGGUUUCGGCUCGUAAAACUCUGUUAUUAGGGAAGAACAUAUGUGUAAGUAACUGUGCACAUCUUGACGGUACCUAAUCAGAAAGCCACGGCUAACUACGUGCCAGCAGCCGCGGUAAUACGUAGGUGGCAAGCGUUAUCCGGAAUUAUUGGGCGUAAAGCGCGCGUAGGCGGUUUCUUAAGUCUGAUGUGAAAGCCCACGGCUCAACCGUGGAGGGUCAUUGGAAACUGGGAAACUUGAGUGCAGAAGAGGAAAGUGGAAUUCCAUGUGUAGCGGUGAAAUG